rnacentral:rRNA from 1 species
GCCGUAACUAUAACGGUCCUAAGGUAGCGAAAUUCCUUGUCGGGUAAGUUCCGACCUGCACGAAUGGCAUAAUGAUGGCGGCGCUGUCUCCAGCAGAGGCUCAGUGAAAUCGAAAUCGCUGUGAAGAUGCAGUGUACCCGCGGCUAGACGGAAAGACCCCGUGAACCUUUACUGCAGCUUGACACUGAACUUUGACCUUACUUGUGUAGGAUAGGUGGGAGGCUUUGAAGCUGGAACGCUAGUUCCAGUGGAGCCGUCCUUGAAAUACCACCCUGGUAAUGUUGAGGUUCUAACUCUGUCCCGUGAUCCGGGACGAGGACCGUGUCUGGUGGGUAGUUUGACUGGGGCGGUCUCCUCCUAAAGAGUAACGGAGGAGUACGAAGGUGCGCUCAGCGUGGUCGGAAAUCACGCGUAGAGUAUAAAGGCAAAAGCGCGCUUAACUGCGAGACCCACAAGUCGAGCAGGUACGAAAGUAGGUCUUAGUGAUCCGGUGGUUCUGUAUGGAAGGGCCAUCGCUCAACGGAUAAAAGGUACUCUGGGGAUAACAGGCUGAUACCGCCCAAGAGUUCAUAUCGACGGCGGUGUUUGGCACCUCGAUGUCGGCUCAUCUCAUCCUGGGGCUGAAGCAGGUCCCAAGGGUAUGGCUGUUCGCCAUUUAAAGAGGUACGCGAGCUGGGUUUAGAACGUCGUGAGACAGUUCGGUCCCUAUCUACCGUGGGCGCUGGAAAUUUGAGAGGAUCUGCUCCUAGUACGAGAGGACCAGAGUGGACGAACCUCUGGUGUACCGGUUGUGACGCCAGUCGCAUCGCCGGGUAGCUAUGUUCGGAAGGGAUAACCGCUGAAAGCAUCUAAGCGGGAAGCCUACCUCAAGAUAAGAUUUCCCUAGGACUUUAUGUCCUCUAAAGAGCCGUUCGAGACUAGGACGUUGAUAGGUUGGAUGUGGAAGCAUAGUGAUAUGUGAAGCUGACCAAUACUAAUUGCUCGUGAGGCUUGACUAUACAACACCCAAGCAGUUG